CCCAUGAGGUACUCUAUUCAAUUUUUCUUUAUUGUUAAAAGUACACCUUAGUAAUUGUCUGAGCUUUGACUUCAAAUGAAUGCACUAGCUAAAUAUCGGAGAUAUAUUAAAUGAGAUAAAAACAUUUUAUAUACCUAGUGUUAGGACAUACCGACUGACUUCUGCACGUCGAUUUAUUCUCAGAUCGAUCCGACCGAUGUCUGACUCUAUCGAUCG
rnacentral:lncRNA from 1 species